AUGACCUACGGGGCGCAGCAGUGGGGGAUAUUGCACAAUGGGGGAAACCCUGAUGCAGCGACGCCGCGUGGGCGAAGAAGUAUUUCGGUAUGUAAAGCCCUAUCAGCAGGGAAGAAGAAAUGACGGUACCUGAGUAAGAAGCCCCGGCUAACUACGUGCCAGCAGCCGCGGUAAUACGUAGGGGGCAAGCGUUAUCCGGAUUUACUGGGUGUAAAGGGAGCGCAGACGGCAGUGCAAGUCUGGAGUGAAAGCCCGGGGCCCAACACCGGAACUGCUAUGGAAACUGUGCGGCUAGAGUAGUGGAG
rnacentral:rRNA from 1 species